AGGGCCGCGAGGCGGAAUCUGAAGGAAGCCGGAGGCAAACCCUCGGUCUUACGAACAGAAAUCACAUAAAAGGCAUGACGGGACGGACGAGCUGGCAAUCCAAAGCAAAGUCCAUUACUGCCCGAAUCCCAUCAUGUAGAUGUGGCAGGGAUGAGGGGAAGACUAUCGCU
rfam:Paenibacillus sp. DMB20 mira_20, whole genome shotgun sequence.